GACGAACGCUGGCGGCGUGCUUAACACAUGCAAGUCGAACGGAAAGGCCCAGCUUGCUGGGUACUCGAGUGGCGAACGGGUGAGUAACACGUGGGUGAUCUGCCCUGGACUCUGGGAUAAGCCUGGGAAACUGGGUCUAAUACCGGAUAUGACCUUACAUCGCAUGGUGUUUGGUGGAAAGCUUUUGCGGUUCAGGAUGGGCCCGCGGCCUAUCAGCUUGUUGGUGGGGUAAUGGCCUACCAAGGCGACGACGGGUAGCCGACCUGAGAGGGUGAUCGGCCACACUGGGACUGAGACACGGCCCAGACUCCUAUGGGAGGCAGCAGUGGGGAAUAUUGCACAAUGGGCGCAAGCCUGAUGCAGCGACGCCGCGUGAGGGAUGACGGCCUUCGGGUUGUAAACCUCUUUCACCAGGGACGAAGCGUGAGUGACGGUACCUGGAGAAGAAGCACCGGCCAACUACGUG
rnacentral:rRNA from 1 species